UACGUAGGUGACAAGCGUUGUCCGGAUUUACUGGGCGUAAAGAGCGCGCAGGCGGUCGUUCAAGUCGAGUGUGAAAGCCCCCGGCUCAACUGGGGAGGGUCAUUCGAUACUGAUCGACUCGAAGGCAGGAGAGGGAAGUGGAAUUCCCGGUGUAGUGGUGAAAUGCGUAGAUAUCUGGAGGAAUACCGGUGGCGAAGGCGGCAUCCUGGACCGACAUUGACGCUGAACGGCGAAAGCUAGGGGAGCAAACGGG
rnacentral:rRNA from 1 species